rnacentral:rRNA from 1 species
GCCAGACUCCUACGGGAGGCAGCAGUGGGGAAUAUUGGGCAAUGGGCACAAGCCUGACCCAGCAACGCCGCGUGAAGGAAGAAGGCUUUCGGGUUGUAAACUUCUUUUAAGAGGGAAGAGUAGGAGACGGUACCUCUUGAAUAAGCCACGGCUAACUACGUGCCAGCAGCCGCGGUAAUACGUAGGUGGCAAGCGUUGUCCGGAUUUACUGGGUGUAAAGGGCGUGUAGCCGGGUUGACAAGUCAGAUGUGAAAUCCUGCGGCUUAACCGCAGAACUGCAUUUGAAACUGUUGAUCUUGAGUACUGGAGAGGCAGACGGAAUUCCUAGUGUAGCGGUGAAAUGCGUAGAUAUUAGGAGGAACGCCAGUGGCGAAGGCGGUCUGCCGGACAGCAACUGACGGUGAGGCGCGAAAGCGUGGGGAGCAAACAGGAUUAGAUACCCCUGUAU